AUUGAACGCUGGCGGCAGGCUUAACACAUGCAAGUCGAACGAGUGGCGGACGGGUGAGUAAUGCUUGGGAAUCUAGAUUAUGGAGGGGGAUAACUACGGGAAACUGUAGCUAAUACCGCGUACCAUAGGAUGAGCCCAAGUGGGAUGAGGUAGUUGGUGGGGUAAAGGCUCACCUAGGCGACGAUCUCUAGCUGGUCUGAGAGGAUGAUAAGCCACACUGGGAAGGAGACACGGCCCAGACUCCUACGGAAGGCAGCAGUGGGGAAUAUUGCACAAGGGGCGCAAGCCUGAUGCAGCCAUGCCGGGUGUAUGAAGAAGGGCUUAGGGUUGUAAAGUACUUUCAGCGGGGAGGUGUUACCCGCAGAAGAAGCACCGGCUAACUCCGUGCCAGCAGCCGCGGUAAUAC
rnacentral:rRNA from 1 species